UACGUAGGGUGCAAGCGUUGUCCGGAAUUAUUGGGCGUAAAGAGCUCGUAGGCGGUUUGUCGCGUCUGCUGUGAAAACUCAGGGCUUAACUCUGAGCUUGCAGUGGGUACGGGCAGACUAGAGUGUGGUAGGGGAGACUGGAAUUCCUGGUGUAGCGGUGAAAUGCGCAGAUAUCAGGAGGAACACCGAUGGCGAAGGCAGGUCUCUGGGCAUUAACUGACGCUGAGGAGCGAAAGCAUGGGGAGCGAACAGG
rnacentral:rRNA from 1 species